rnacentral:rRNA from 1 species
AUUGAACGCUGGCGGCAGGCUUAACACAUGCAAGUCGAGCGGAGAGAGGUAGCUUGCUACUGAUCUUAGCGGCGGACGGGUGAGUAAUGCUUAGGAAUCUGCCUAUUAGUGGGGGACAACAUUUCGAAAGGAAUGCUAAUACCGCAUACGUCCUACGGGAGAAAGCAGGGGAUCUUCGGACCUUGCGCUAAUAGAUGAGCCUAAGUCGGAGUAGCUAGGUGGUGGGGUAAAGGCCUACCAAGGCGACGAUCUGUAGCGGGUCUGAGAGGAUGAUCCGCCACACUGGGACUGAGACACGGCCCAGACUCCUACGGGAGGCAGCAGUGGGGAAUAUUGGACAAUGGGCGGAAGCCUGAUCCAGCCAUGCCGCGUGUGUGAAGAAGGCCUUAUGGUUGUAAAGCACUUUAAGCGAGGAGGAGGCUACUUUAGUUAAUACCUAGAGAUAGUGGACGUUACUCGCAGAAUAAGCACCGGCUAACUCUGUGCCAGCAGCCGCCGUAAGAC